rnacentral:lncRNA from 1 species
AAGUCCAGGUGUGGCCGUAUCGCCCCUGGCAUAGAGCAUGAGAAGUCCAGGUGUGGCCGUAUCGCCCCUGGCAUAGAGCAUAUGAAGUCCAGGCGUGGCCGUAUCGCCCCUGGCAUAGAGUAUUGUUGACUUGUUAUGGUACGAGAUUGAUAUGUAGGGGGCUAUUGGUGACAGAUUCAUCCUUGAGGUGAUAUAUUUGUGAUGUGACGCAUUCCAUGAUAGCAUACGUUAAAAUUAACUGUUUUCUUUUAUGGUUUCUGCUCACUGGGC